GGAAGACAACCAUGAUCUAGGUCAAGAUACAGACAAAUUUGAAUCUCUGGUAAUUACUUGGAAAGAAUUUUAGCCAAGGAUUGAGGUAGGUGCACUAACAACUACAGUAUGACAAAAGAGUGAAUCUUAGAAAGCUUUUCUUCAGCAGGAAAGGUAAGUUAGUUAAUUUUUAUUGUGCUAAUCUACCAAUCCCAACUUCACCUUGUAUGAAUUACACAUGGUGUGUUGUCUAUAGUUUUUACCAAGACAUGACUACCCGGAUGGUGAGAAGAAGAAGGUUUGGUUUAUUAAGCCAAUUAAAUCAAUGAAGUUAUAAAACAAUAAAAAAACAUGAUAAUCCACCCUAGCCCUUCCCACCCUUUCUCAGCCAGACAGUCACACA
rnacentral:misc_RNA from 1 species